rnacentral:rRNA from 1 species
UACGGGGGGAGCAAGCGUUGUUCGGAUUUACUGGGCGUAAAGGGCGCGUAGGCGGUCAGCACAAGUCAGUUGUGAAAUCUCCGGGCUUAACUCGGAAAGGUCAACUGAUACUGUGCGACUAGAGUGCAGAAGGGGCAACUGGAAUUCUCGGUGUAGCGGUGAAAUGCGUAGAUAUCGAGAGGAGCACCUGCGGCGAAGGCGGGUUGCUGGGACGAUACUGACGCUGAGGCGCGAAAGCGUGGGGAGCAAACGGG